ensembl:lincRNA Gm42703 predicted gene 42703
GCAGGGGUGUUAGCUGACCCAUGCUGGAUGGAGUUCAACAACUGGGAAAGCUCUGUAACCUACCAUGUGGAUGCUGGUUACUUGAAGACCUGGCCUGCGGUGUCAAGCUCUCUUCAGUCCAUCCUUUCUCAACAGGCCACAUCAGGAGUGAAACACUACUGCCUUAGCUAACAGCAGCAGCAGUGCAAUACAGGCAUCUGGAGCCCAGAAGACAAGGUGUGUGCUACAAAGGGUAGAGCUAGAGAAGUGCCGGAAGUCCUUGGGGAAUACAGAAGAUGAAGAGCUUCUCUGAAGAACACCAGUGGAACUCCUUUGUUAAUUAAAAGUGCUGAGCACAAGUGCAUUGGAAGCAUUGUAGAUUUGCAUGCGCCAUCACUGUGACACUAUGCUCUGUUAUUAAACAAGCC